GAUGAACGCUGGCGGCGUGCUUAACACAUGCAAGUCGAACGGGAAUUACUUUAUUGAAACUUCGGUCGAUUUAAUUUAAUUCUAGUGGCGGACGGGUGAGUAACGCGUGGGUAACCUGCCUUGUACAGGGGGAUAACAGUCAGAAAUGGCUGCUAAUACCGCAUAAGCGCACAGGACCGCAUGGUCCGGUGUGAAAAACUCCGGUGGUAUAAGAUGGACCCGCGUUGGAUUAGCUUGUUGGCAGGGUAACGGCCUACCAAGGCGACGAUCCAUAGCCGGCCUGAGAGGGUGAACGGCCACAUUGGGACUGAGACACGGCCCAGACUCCUACGGGAGGCAGCAGUGGGGAAUAUUGCACAAUGGGGGAAACCCUGAUGCAGCGACGCCGCGUGAAGGAAGAAGUAUCUCGGUAUGUAAACUUCUAUCAGCAGGGAAGAGAUUGACGGUA
rnacentral:rRNA from 1 species